rnacentral:miRNA from 2 species
UUGCUGACCUGGGUGGUGGU